rnacentral:rRNA from 1 species
UACAUGGGGUGCAAACGUUGCUCGGAAUUAUUGGGCGUAAGGCGCACGUAGGCGGUUUGUUAAGUCGGAUGUGAAAUCCCUCGGCUCAACUGAGGAAGUGCAUCCGAAACUGGCAAGCUUGAGUACGAAAGAGGAUCGCGGAAUUCCCGGUGUAGAGGUGAAAUUCGUAGAUAUCGGGAGGAACACCGGUGGCGAAGGCGGCCUGCUGGGCAGUUGCUGACACUGAGGCGCGACAGCGUGGGGAGCAAACAGG